GACGAACGCUGGCGGCGUGCUUAACACAUGCAAGUCGAACGGAAAGGCCCUGCUUUUGUGGGGUGCUCGAGUGGCGAACGGGUGAGUAACACGUGAGUAACCUGCCCUUGACUUUGGGAUAACUUCAGGAAACUGGGGCUAAUACCGGAUAGGAGCUCCUGCUGCAUGGUGGGGGUUGGAAAGUUUCGGCGGUUGGGGAUGGAUUCGCGGCUUAUCAGCUUGUUGGUGGGGUAGUGGCUUACCAAGGCUUUGACGGGUAGCCGGCCUGGGAGGGGGACCGGCCACAUUGGGACUGAGGUACGGCCCAGACGCCAACGGGAGGCAGCAGUGGGGAAUAUUGCACAAUGGGCGGAAGCCUGAUGCAGCAACGCCGCGUGCGGGAUGACGGCCUUCGGGUUGUAAACCGCUUUCGCCUGUGACGAAGCGUGAGUGACGGUAAUGGGUAAAGAAGCACCGGCUAACUACGUG
rnacentral:rRNA from 1 species